AAAGGGAUUGUAAAGCAAACAAUAAAAUUUGUUUGAUAAGAUUAAGACUUCGUUUGAGAUUGCGGUGGGGUUGCGGGGAGAUUGCAUUACGUGCUGUGAGAAACGACGAUGGAAAAAUAUUCUGUUUGUUUCCGUACGUAAUAUUGCGUUCCGUAUAUUGCGGUUAGUCAAUUACGACAUAUUUUCUGCGGUUCCAUCGGAGAACGCAGAAAUAUAUCCCUAAACUCAAAUUUUUACAAAAGCUAAUCAUAUAUUUCUCAUCACAU
rnacentral:lncRNA from 1 species